CCGCCGGACCUGACUGCUAUCGGAUUGAUNCUANNNNNUGCGAGUCAUUGUAGUAAUACAAGGCAGACGGCUCAGUAACGCGUAGUCAACCUACCCUAUGGACGGGAAUAACCUCGGGAAACUGAGUAUAAUGCCCGAUAGAACACUAUACCUGGAAUGGUUUGUGUUCCAAAUGAAUGUCGCCGUAGGAUGGGACUGCGGCCUAUCAGUUUGUUGGUGAGGUAAUGGCCCACCAAGACUAUUACAGGUACGGGCUCUGAGAGGAGUAGCCCGGAGAUGGGUACUGAGACACGGACCCAGGCCCUAUGGGGCGCAGCAGGCGAGAAAACUUUGCAAUGUGCGAAAGCACGACAAGGUUAAUCCGAGUGGUUUGUGCUAAACGAACCUUUUGACAGUCCUAGAAACACUGUUGAAUAAGGGGUGGGCAAGUUCUGGUGUCAGCCGCCGCGGUAAAACCAGCACCUCAGGUGGUCAGGAUGAUUAUUGGGCCUAAAGCAUCCGUAGCCGGCUCUGUAAAUUUUCGGUUAAAUCUGUACGCUCAACGUACAGGCUGCCGGGAAUGCUGCAGAGCUAGGGAGUGGGAGAGGUAGACGGUACUCGGUAGGAAGGGGUAAAAUCCUUUGUUCUAUUGAUGACCACCUGUGGC
rnacentral:rRNA from 1 species